UGCAGGCAGAAAUAAACGCGCUGCAACAAACGCCGUCCGUGUCAGCCGAAAACUACAACCCCGAACCUGCAGAACCAGCAACACCCGAAAAUAUGCAGGCCAGCGGCUAUGCGUUGGCGGGCGAACGUGAAAAUGGAUUUCAAGAAGAGCCGGAAAGUCACGGCGCAGUUGGAUAUUCGUUUGA